rnacentral:rRNA from 1 species
CGCCCGUCGCUCCUACCGAUUGGGUGUGCUGGUGAAGUGUUCGGAUUGGUGGCUCGGGGCGGUCUCCGCUUCGUGCUGCUGAGAAGUUCAUUAAACCCUCCCACCUAGAGGAAGGAGAAGUCGUAACAAGGUUUCC